rnacentral:rRNA from 1 species
GGCUCAGAACGAACGCUGGCGGCAGGCCUAACACAUGCAAGUCGAGCGCGCCCUUCGGGGUGAGCGGCGGACGGGUGAGUAACGCGUGGGAACGUGCCCUUCUCUGCGGAAUAGCCUCGGGAAACUGAGAGUAAUACCGCAUACGCCCUUUGGGGGAAAGAUUUAUCGGAGAAGGAUCGGCCCGCGUUGGAUUAGGUAGUUGGUGGGGUAAUGGCCCACCAAGCCGACGAUCCAUAGCUGGUUUGAGAGGAUGAUCAGCCACACUGGGACUGAGACACGGCCCAGACUCCUACGGGAGGCAGCAGUGGGGAAUCUUAGACAAUGGGGGCAACCCUGAUCUAGCCAUGCCGCGUGAGUGAUGAAGGCCUUAGGGUUGUA